CUCCGCUCCUGCAUACCAGGGGCUCCCCCUUCACUGCCCUCUAAUAAUAAUAUUGCAGCCCAUUGCACACUAGGGGGAAGGUUGACCGGCGAACAGGCCGGAGACGGCACCCGAGGGGGGUAUAAUGACAACACUGAUACCUUUAGCUAACUCACAGGACACAACCGAAAUGUUUUUAUUGUUGAAUCGCUUAUUCCUCUAUUAUAUGUCAUGCAAUAUUGUCCCAGUUGGAAGAUGUUUAAAAUAACUAUUGGAUAUGUUCUGUGUCUGCCACUCGCCACACAGUUGACAUGGUUCAGUUCAGGCUCCCCUAGACUCAGGAGUCCUGAGCAGUUGAGUUGAGCCAGAUUCGAG